CGCCGGACACAACUCUGAUCUGUGAGGACUUUGUCUUGUAGGUGCUCUUCACUAGCGACAGGCGACAGGAAGUUGGCCGCAACAAUGGUUAAUUGCUUAUUUGAUAAAGAGGAAUAAAAGCUCUGAAAUUCCUAUUUGUAUUUCUUUGGUGAUGCAGUAGCAUUUGUUCUUAGCAAUGACUUACUGAUUUUUCAUAAUACAUAU
rnacentral:lncRNA from 1 species